ACAGUCACUGACAUUAGAUACCCCCGUAGUCCAGGGUGUAAACGCUGCAGACUUGGUGUUGGAGGCCCUUUGGGGGCAUUCAGUGCCGGAGAGAAGUUGUUAAGUCUGCUACUUGGGAGUACGUCCGCAAGGAUGAAACUUAAAGGAAUUGGCGGGGGAGCACCGCAACGGGAGGAGCGUGCGGUUUAAUUGGAUUCAACACCGUAAAACUCACCAGGGAAGACUGUUACAUGAAGGCCGAGAUGAAGACUCUGCUAGAUUUUCAG
rnacentral:rRNA from 1 species